UACGGGGGGGGCAAGCGUUGUUCGGAAUUACUGGGCGUAAAGGGCUCGUAGGCGGCCAACUAAGUCAAACGUGAAAUCCCUCGGCUUAACCGGGGAACUGCGUCUGAUACUGGAUGGCUUGAGUUUGGGAGAGGGAUGCGGAAUUCCAGGUGUAGCGGUGAAAUGCGUGGAUAUCUGGAGGAACACCGGUGGCGAAGGCGGCAUCCUGGACCAACACUGACGCUGAGACGCGAAAGCGUGGGGAGCAAACAGG
rnacentral:rRNA from 1 species